UUGCUCCGGAUGUUAGCGGCGGACGGGUGAGUAACACGUGGGUAACCUGCCUGUAAGACUGGGAUAACUCCGGGAAACCGGAGCUAAUACCGGAUAGUUCCUUGAACCGCAUGGUUCAAGGAUGAAAGACGGUUUCGGCUGUCACUUACAGAUGGACCCGCGGCGCAUUAGCUAGUUGGUGAGGUAACGGCUCACCAAGGCGACGAUGCGUAGCCGACCUGAGAGGGUGAUCGGCCACACUGGGACUGAGACACGGCCCAGACUCCUACGGGAGGCAGCAGUAGGGAAUCUUCCGCAAUGGACGAAAGUCUGACGGAGCAACGCCGCGUGAGUGAUGAAGGUUUUCGGAUCGUAAAGCUCUGUUGUUAGGGAAGAACAAGUGCAAGAGUAACUGCUUGCACCUUGACGGUACCUAACCAGAAAGCCACGGCUAACUACGUGCCAGCAGCCGCGGUAAUACGUAGGUGGCAAGCGUUGUCCGGAAUUAUUGGGCGUAAAGGGCUCGCAGGCGGUUUCUUAAGUCUGAUGUGAAAGCCCCCGGCUCAACCGGGGAGGGUCAUUGGAAACUGGGAAACUUGAGUGCAGAAGAGGAGAGUGGAAUUCCACGUGUAGCGGUGAAAUGCGUAGAGAUGUGGAGGAACACCAGUGGCGAAGGCGACUCUCUGGUCUGUAACUGACGCUGAGGAGCGAAAGCGUGGGGAGCGAACAGGAUUAGAUACCCUGGUAGUCCACGCCGUAAACGAUGAGUGCUAAGUGUUAGGGGGUUUCCG
rnacentral:rRNA from 1 species